rnacentral:rRNA from 1 species
UAGGGAAUUUUGCGCAAUGGGGGAAACCCUGACGCAGCAACGCCAUGUGUGGGAUGAAGCAUUUCGGUGUGUAAACCACUGUCGGCAGGGAAUAAAGCCCACAUUUAUGUGGGGGUGAAUGUACCUGCAGAGGAAGCCCCGGCUAACUUCGUGCCAGCAGCCGCGGUAAUACGAGGGGGGCAAGUGUUGUUCGGAAUCACUGGGCGUAAAGGGAGCGUAGGCGGAUGCUUAAGUUGGAUGUUUAAAACCGGGGCCCAACCUCGGAGCGGCAUCCAAAACUGGGCGUCUUGAAUGGAACAGAGGCUAGUGGAAUUGGGGGUGUAGCGGUGGAAUGCGUAGAGAUCCCCAAGAACACCAAUUGCGAAGGCAGCUAGCUGGGUUCACAUUGACGCUGAGGCUCGAAAGCAUGGGGAGCAAACAGG